GUUCCCUGGCCUCCAUCGGAGUGAGUAAGGACCACAUACGGAGCAGCGCCGUAGCUCGGAAUAAAACCUGCAAAAGAUGAAUAGUUGUUGUUCUGUUAAAAGUCAAAUCAUUUCUGCAGUUCCAAAUUGCCCAUAACAACGCACAUACUCCUACACGAAUAUGUCUAGCUGUGUCGGGCUCAAUCCCGUCAAGCCACGUUCCAAAUAACGUACCCACCGAAUUCGGAGGAGUGAUGUUAAAGGCAAUUUGCACGGUGCGCCACAAAAGGUAAUCUUGCCCAUAUAGAGAAGGUAUUUUUUCAAUAACAACUUAUUUAUUUAAUUUACAGGGACCAAUCACAGAUGAUCUAUUUACUGGAUCGUGGUGAAGCACUACUGUUUUGGGGCAAUCAUGUGCUCUAUACUUGAAUGAGAGCACAAACAAGCAUGGUUUUGGCAGAUUUGGGCAUUCAGUUCAGUUCAGCUACCUUUUGGCCAUUCGGUUCAGUUCUAGGUUCUAAGAUAAUACUCCAAUUUAUGUAUGCACGCUCAUUGUACAUUCGGCAGCCAAAGCAAGCAUUAUGACUUGCAAGUGAUUGUAUUCCUGGAAGGACAUGCUCUCAAAUUGUCAACAUGUGUUAUCCUCUUUAAUUAACAGCACCAGUAUUGUGCUCUCAAAUUGACAAUCUUAGAUCACAACAGUACAAUGGUUACGGUACACAGAACUUCAGUGAUUCACAUUCAAUAUUUGUAACAGUAAUCACACUCAAAUUCACUCAACUACACUCUCAAAUUACAUGAUUACAAUCUGGAUACAACAUUCAGUCACACUAUUCACUGAAGUGUACAAUUCACAUCAGUUACAAGCUCAAUCUGGCAGUUCUCCUGCUGUUGCUGCUUCUUUGUUGCUGCUGCUUCUCUGCUGUCUGCACAACUAAAAUUGCAGUUUCUGCACAACUGAAACUGAACAUGUACAGCAAGGCAAAGCAAGCAGCAAACCAAUGCAACGCGAGGCAAGCAGCAGAGAAAUCCUUGGGGAAGAAUCAGCGGCAUCGACGAUGCUUGGUCCGCGGCUCAACGGUCCCGACGGCACCGGGGGCGUCGCACCCUGUACGUGGCCGCGGCUGGCUCCGCCAUCUCGACGGCUAGGCAUCCUCACACCAUGGACGGGGCAACGGCUGGCUCUGCCGCUCCACGGCUAGGCUGCUCGCGCCCUGAUGGAGCAGCGGCUGCUCUUCACCGCCGGCGUAGCGAACCCUAGGGAGAGACAGAGCGACUGACCGACGAUGAUGGCGACUGAGUGAGGCGAUGUAGCGUCGGACUGGGCCGAUGGGCCGCUUACUUUUCUUGUGUUCCCACCCGAGCGAGAAAGCUGGCGCAGGCUAGUUUCUGCUCGUAUCGUUCGAUGGCUGAUGGACGGUGCAGCGCGAAGAACGUCCCUCGGCAGUAGAACUUCCCAAGUCAGACCAUUUUCGGUAACUGACGGAAGAGAGAGGGAGAACAGGCGACCGACACGCAAAUGUAGUUCCUCAUGCAGCCAAUCAGGAGAUCCACUCUGAUUGAGGAGGUCGGAGAGAGUAUGGUGUCAGAAGAUUCGGCGCCGCAGCAGGCCACGGGUGUGCGCGGUGAAAAGCUGAUCUGCGGGGCGUCUGGAGCGGCGGUAAUCGACGGGGAAGAUGAAUCCCCAGGCUCUUGGUUGGAAUAAGAGGGUGAGGAUCGGUGCUGCUGCCCCUGGAAGGACGCCUUGAGGCAUCGGAAUUGCCCACCGGGAAGAUGAACCUGCAGGCACUUGGUUGGGCUAAGAGAAUUGAGUAAGUGCCGGUAUCCUGCAAGAUUUAAUAUAUGUGGCUAGAAUUCCGGGUACAUGGCCUGUGGAAUUAUAGUGUGAUGACAAUUAGCAAUGGAUUGUCAGAUGUAAAUCCGUAGUCUAAACUGGUAUAUCUAUCUCCGCCGUGGUAGAUGGCGAAUCCGGGGUGCUCUAAUCUCUAAUUUGCGGACUAUCUUUUUUUAUGGCCAUGGUUGUGUGCAGGUUCCCGUUUGUUGAGGAGGUGGAUGAGAGCGCAGUUCCAAUGGAUCCGGCGGAUCCGGUUGACGUGGUUUCGUUCCAGCGACACGCAAGGGGGCUGGCAGUUCGCCGGCGCUGGCCAUGAGUGCGGCCGCACAGAUCUGUGAGGAGGGAAGGGGUGGGGAGGAUAGACGUGAGUCGUCAUGGCAGGUAUCGGAAAUUUCCACGGGGAAGAUGACCCCGCCGCCACCCAGAUGGGCUAAGGCCCUCCACUAUGUGCUCAAUGCCACAUUUCUGAAAAGCAGGCCACGUACAUGCAGAUGCCAGUUAAACUUUUUUUAGCACUGGUCACACAGUGUAGGAGAUUUGGCAUCGACGCCAGCUCGGGCCCAAGCACAUAUAAACUAGUAAUAAAUUACCCAACAAACAGUGUCUUGGGCUGUUGGUUCUCGUAAGAAAGGACAGUGACAUGCUUAGAAUUUUUUUACUUGGCACCGGGCUGGACAAUGUAGGGCAUCGGUGCUAAAUGUCAAAAAGCAAACUUGGCACCGGUUAUGGCCUACAUAGUGGAAGGCUUAAGAGGUUAGUCAGCUCGAAUCCCUUAUGCAUUUUUUCCAUUUACUAAACUUUGGAAAUUGAUAUAGUUGCGGAAGUUUGCAUUUGAGAAAAUUGUAAGGGCGUAUGCAGAGAACCUGUCAGAGAACGUCAUUGUGCCGAUGUUGGGCGCAAGCUUUGAUUCGCUAGCAACCUCGGAAGCGCUGGUGUCAACCUCAGAAGUGUGCGAGGUGUAAGAAUUGUGGGGUUGAGGGCCAUAGGAGAAACACCUGCACGGCUGCACCAAGGCAAUGGAGAUGAGGUUAGCAAAUGUGUGAUGCUGGAGUGUAGUGCAUAGUGCUAGGUCUGACGGGCUGUUUUUGGUUAGUUGUAAACCUAUGCUGUUGUGUUCUGGAUUAUUUCUGGUUUUGCGUUGCACUGAUUUGCACUUGGCAAGCUGAAAUACAGUUAAAAAUCUGGCUUUGUUUCAGUUAAUUAAUUGCCCAUGGUGGGAAUGA